GGGGGCGUUUUAGAUUCGCUCGGGGGAGCAAUGGCAAGAGUGGCGUGUCGAGAUCCCGCUUGACCUCGUUAAACAGCGGACCUUUUUAAUUGCCAAACCAAAUUACGCUUUAGCAGCUUAAAGCCGCUAACAUCCUGCCUUCUGUGCCUGUGAGGGAGAGUUCAGGGUGUCAAAACAACAGGAUAUCUUGUGCGACCACCGUCUGAGGUCAAUCAAGAGAGAUUAACCAGACUGGCUUUAUAGGAAUCCCGCUUUCAGGAGUCUUAUGAAGCGAGAAUUAAAGUGAAGGCUACACACGUAGAGGCUUUUGUGAUUGUCUUUCGAUACAGGGGUGCAAGUCCCCUCGCCUCCACCA
rnacentral:tmRNA from 1 species